CGGUCCUGGAGACUCGAAGGAGAUGAUUUCCUUAGAGGAGGGGGAAGAGGAGCAAUUGGAGAGGAAACACUAGGAGUUAAUCAUUCAAGACACAGGAUGAAACAAGAAAGAAUUCUAAAAAUAAUACCUUCUCCUUCAAAACUGAAGCCGUCUGCAGGAAGCAGAAUUGGAGAGCUUAUUAGCAUGCCUCCUUUGCCCUCUGCAGCUGAUGCUCCCCGUUAAAAUCCUGGCACAAUCCUAAAGUGGCAGUUUGCUCUGCAAAGGUCAGAAGAAUCAAGGUCACCAAAGAACACGUAUCAGAAUCAAAGACCUUCUCUGAAAGAACGCGCGUGCCCACCGCAGAGAGGCUGCCCCAAGAACUCAGGCCUCUGACCGGAUGGUUUGAAGCGCGUGUGGGGAGGUGCAUUCCUCUUCACUGGGCACACACCCAGCACUGUCCCACGAGCCGUGCAAAUGUGACCAGUCUCUCAUGUCUUUUGCGCCUCAGCCUCCCCAUCUGUGUCGUCGGGAUCAUCCUUCCUUCUUCAUGGAUGCUACCAGUCCAUGCCACUGCCAAGGUCCCCACGAAUCCCAGAGACAGCAAGGUCACCGUUGCUUAGAAAAUACUACUCCAUCUACUGCCUAUCAAGUCUAGCGAACCGUGAGCCGUCAGGCCCCUCCCCCACGGCCAUGGGGCAACGUCGGGAAUCUUCUCCUACAGCUAGGUGCUAAAGU